UCGUAACAAGGUUUCCGUAGGUGAACCUGCGGAAGGAUCAUUACUGAGUGCGGGCUGCCUCCGGGCGCCCAACCUCCCACCCGUGAAUACCUAACACUGUUGCUUCGGCGGGGAGCUCCCUCGGGGGCGAGCCGCCGGGGACUACUGAACUUCAUGCCUGAGAGUGAUGCAGUCUGAGUCUGAAUAUAAAAUCAGUCAAAACUUUCAACAAUGGAUCUCUUGGUUCCGGCAUCGAUGAAGAACGCAGCGAACUGCGAUAAGUAAUGUGAAUUGCAGAAUUCAGUGAAUCAUCGAGUCUUUGAACGCACAUUGCGCCCCCUGGCAUUCCGGGGGGCAUGCCUGUCCGAGCGUCAUUGCUGCCCAUCAAGCCCGGCUUGUGUGUUGGGUCGUCGUCCCCCCCGGGGGACGGGCCCGAAAGGCAGCGGCGGCACCGUGUCCGGUCCUCGAGCGUAUGGGGCUUUAUCACCCGCUCGACUAGGGCCGGCCGGGCGCCAGCCGACGUCUCCAACCAUUUUUCUUCAGGUUGACCUCGGAUCAGGUAGGGAUACCCGCUGAACUUAAGCAUAUCAAUAA
rnacentral:misc_RNA from 1 species